AGUGAACGCUGGCGGUAGGCCUAACACAUGCAAGUCGAACGGCAGCACAGAGGAGCUUGCUCCUUGGGUGGCGAGUGGCGGACGGGUGAGGAAUACAUCGGAAUCUACUCUGCCGUGGGGGAUAACGUAGGGAAACUUACGCUAAUACCGCAUACGACCUACGGGUGAAAGCAGGGGACCUUCGGGCCCUGCGCGAUGGAAUGAGCCGAUGUCGGCUUAGCUAGUUGGCUGGGUAAAGGCCCACCAAGGAGACGAUCCGUAGCUGGUCUGAGAGGAUGGUCAGACACACUGGAACUGAGACACGGUCCAGAGUCCUACGGGAGGCAGCAGUGGGGAAUAUUGGACAAUGGGCGCAAGCCUGAUCCAGCCAUACCGCGUGGGUGAAGAAGGCCUUCGGGUUGUAAAGCCCUUUUGUUGGGAAAGAAAUCCAGCUGGCUAAUACCCGGUUGGGAUGACGGUACCCAAAGAAUAAGCACCGGCUAACUUCGUGCCAGCCGCCGCCGUAA
rnacentral:rRNA from 1 species